ensembl:ncRNA ZK512.15 ncRNA
UGCCAUCGACACUAACGAUGCGCGACAUGUUCCAAUAUGUUAUCACACUAUCACUUCCCCCACCCUCAACAAAUUCACACACCCUGAUUUUCUCUGAUCCCUCUUGUCAUGUUUCUUGUUAUCAAUUUUUUUUAAAAAUUUUAAUACAAU